UAAAAUCGGGUUGAAUAGCAUGCGAUAUUUUUUGUAGUUGUCAGAAAGUGACAUAAAAAAUUAGAUUUUUGAAAAUUAAUUACACAAAUAUUGUAGGUAAUAAGAAUUGAAAGUGUUUAACAAAAAUAAAGGUUUAGUGUUGUGUUUAUGUUUCAAAGUUUACAUUCUUAUGUGUUGUUGUUAUAUUUGAAGUACUUUAACAAGGAACACUUGAAUGUUUAGUUGACUUUAUGUGAGUUACUUGAAUCCAACGGUCCAGGAAUAAUUGACGCGCCACCCUCAAUCGCCUGCCGCUUGUCUGCGCGUUGAUCUCCGCGACGCGCUGGUGGCCAACAAGGCGACUAGCAACUUUGUACCUGUAACCUUUUGCACUUGGAAAUUGUGCCUACAUUACAGCGUAGCGGUCGCAUUGACAGUUACUCGACAGCAAACGAACAAUGCAACCCCAAAAACGACGACUGCAACAAGCUAGCGUUGGGCAGAAGAAUUGUAAGAAAUACACUAGUAACACGCUUUGAACACGAGACAACGACAUAGCAACGAUUUAUAUAUAAAUAUACUUGAAUGCAGUAGGCGUCAAACUUUUACGAAGAAGUCUUAGAACCCUAAGUGUGGAAUUGAAAAGAAUUAUUUUUGAAGUUGAAAAAUUGCAAUAAUUCAUGGGAGCAGUACAUUUCAAAGAAUCCAACAAUGCUCCUACAAAAAGUGAGUGGCGUGAGAGUAAUGUAUGCAGCAAUAUAUUUUUUCUCAUUUGCAUUUGCUUAAGUGGCGCCCCGGUUGACAUGUGGGCACAUUUAAACAAAGAGUGUGUGUGCAAAGGUCAAGUGAAAUUUUUCAGUGAAUAGUGAAAAAUUAGAAAAAAGUGUUAAUUAAAUCACAGUUUAAUGAAAAUAAUAUUCGUUUAAAGUAAACAAUUGAAAGUGUGUGAUAAAAACAUUAAAAUACGUCACGUUACGAUUAUUGCUGAAAACUUUGUGUGUGAGCGUGAAAAGUAUAUCACUUUCGGAAAGGAGAAUAGCCCCUUGAUGUACGCUUGAAAGAAAUUGUUAAGCGUGCAUCAGCCGAGGACAGCGAAGCUGAGCAGCUUUUUCGGGAUUUGGAAGUGGUGCCUGAUAUAUUGGAUGAACCGCCGAAGGAAUUGUUGAAGAUCGAGUACGCUGGGGGCCUAGAUGUGGGCAGAGGCGAA